AUUUUGGCUUUGGCGGCGCUGAAGGCGUCCAUGGGCCCCCCCGGCCGCUCAGCACAUGGAGAAGGGCGAGCCGGGCCGGCGAGAGGAAGGGGGAGGAGAGGAAGCCGCGGGGACGCAAAGUUUCAGUCUUCAGCAGGCGGGGUGGCUGCUCCCCGGGGCUGGAGCCCGUUCCCGCUGCCGCCUCUGAGGGGGCGCGGAGCCCUUCAGCAUCGCGGUCAGCCGCUGCGCCACCCGCCACUCGCAGGAGGGACCGCCGCGCACACAGACAAUGGCGAGGGUGAGCCCGUCCGAGCUGCUCCGUUGCCGAGCCGAGCCUCUCGGCGCCACACGCGGAUCAGAGGGGCGGGGCUUGCCUUCCUGCCGCUGCGGCACGGUCCCGCAGAGGGCUGGUGGGGCGGGGACGGGGUGGAGAGAGGUGCGGCGCUGCCGCACGCCGGGAGCGCGGAGCUCUCCCCCACCCCCGCGUCGCAGGCAGAGCCUGGGAGAGAGGAUCUGGUGUCACCGGUGGCGUUUGGCCGUCCUUCCCCGCCGCCGCGUCCCGCCGGAGAGGCAGCUGCGGUGCGGGGUGGGGUGAGUGGUGGAGCGGCUACUGGCGGCUGCCCCAGCGCUCCCUCAGCGGGGGAAGGUCCUGUCUGCUCCCCACAGAAAGUUAAUAUUCCCUUACAGAGCGGGUUCCUGGCCCACCUGACUUCACACUGACAGCUCUGGGAAGAGGUGGUCGUUCCCCACGUACGGAAGCUCGUGUUAGGGUAGCUCGGAUGUUUCAGGGUGUGGAUGUCGCAACGGCUUCGGCCCCUCCGUGCCCCCUGCUCCAGCUAGCAAAGUAUUUCGGUGACGGGGACUGGCUGGCGGGUGCGCUGAGCUGUGCCGAGCUGAACUGAGGAGGCACCUAACGUGGCAGCCGUCGAGUACCCAAUAUAGCUCCUUCCACAGCGGCCAAGAAACUGUUGACGAUUAUGCUGUAAGACAGGGAAAAUUGGUGUGUGCGCCAAGUCACUGAGAAGCCUUCGUGUCAAAAUUGGGAAGGAAAUCCUAAUUUUUUCCAUGCCUUGUUCUGUCCCAGUUUUACACUGUUCACAGCUCCCAUCCUGUGCUCCAGUAAGCAGGAUAUCUGUAAAGCCGAUGUGUAAAUCCAGUCACAUAGGUGGCAUUUUGCAUCACCUUUUUAUUAAAUGUGAAAACAUUGCAAUAUAAGGCCUACUAGUUUCUGUGUGGAGUAGGUAUUUCUCAUAGUAAUGAGAAAUAGUUAUGUGUACGUAUAUAAAAAUGAGUAUAAAUACAUAAAUUAUAUAUAAAAAUUAAAAAUUUAUGUUCAUCUUCCCUGAAUUUUAAGAGCUCCUUACAGUCUUGUUUACAGUCAUGAUUAUCCAGGGUUAUAACAUGUAUUUUUAUCUGUUAGCUUGUUGACAUGAAGGGUGAUGACUAAUUCAGAAAAAUGCUAGGUCAUCUCUGCUUCCUGUCAGCCUGUGAAAAGAAUCACCAACCAGGGAGGAUGACGUUACUUUUGCUACAAAAUUUCAAAUUUCAUUUGUGUACUUUUUGGGAUGCAAGUUUAGCACUUCCAUUUUGCUUUACCACUUUACUUAAUUUCCUUUUGCAUUAUGUUCUGUACUUUAUAUACAAAAAUUAUUGUGAUUCAUGGCUUGAAUGGAAUAUUAUAAAGAUUCCUUAAAUUGUAAAUUAUAAAUGUUUUGUCAGGCUGUGAAUUUAGUUCCUGUUCCGUCAAAACCAAGCAAGACAGCAAACCUCUCAAUAAUAACAGAAAAUUUUGUUUAAGAUAACAGUUUGAAAAAUAAGCAUUGAUACAGUGAAGAAAUCUCAGUGUAUAUAAAUUGCAACUUUGAGUUUUUAGCUAAAUAACUGCAAAUAGAGAUGAUUUUUAGGAAAAGGUACAAGUUAUUGUGAUCAUCAUUUUCAAGACAGAUUCCCUUAACUUCAGUCUACCCAAGAAGAUCAAUAUGCGAUCUUCCUGAAAUCUUUUUUUCUUUUUCAUAAAAACUAAGAAAUCAUUCAGAUUCAGAAGAAAUUGCUCAGAUGUUACAAAGGACAUAAAAUACUUCACAGGAGGUACUGUUUGACUUCAACUGAUAUUUCUGUUUAUGCUACAAACUUGAUGAUUAGAUUACUUGCAUUCAAGAACUUCAAACUUUCUUUAUAGGGCCUCCUACUGAAGUGCUUCAGCAGUUGGUGGCCAGUAUGACAGCUUGCAUUCAAAAAGGCUGUAAUGCAGCAAUGUUUGUGAGCACGAGGUUGGCACCAUUCAAUGCCGUGUGUCUUAUGCUUAAAGUUUGCUUCCUACCUUGGUAGACAGGCAUCCAAAGCUUUCGCUAGUUGUAGUUGUAGCAAUAUAAUUGCAGUGUUUAUAUUUAGAACAUCAACAUGUUAUUAGUGGGUUUUACCACCUCUGUAUCCUACUUAGAAUUUAUCCUGCAGAUACUGAUAAUUAUUCACAGUAAUUCAGGGAAACAAAAUGCUGUUCUUUCUAAAUACAAUGAGAUUGCGAAUCAAAACUCGUAACUUCACAAAUUGCAUGUGCAAGUAGAGCUGGCCACUGGGUUGCAACAGUGGAUAUGAAAUUUAGUUUCUUGCCCAAUUUGGCCAAACUUCAUAGGAAAGCAUGCUGCCCCAUCCUUUGUUCUUUCUCUGAGGAAGGAAUUGGUCAUUUAAAUGUCUCCAUGACAGCAGACAGAAGAGUCUCUCCUGUGGUCUGGGCAGGUUUGCAUUUGUCUACCUGAAAGCAUGCUUUUUUCUUCCCUGCAAAUAUGUAAUUUUCCUUAUAAAUCUUGCUAAAGCAUACCUUUACCAUCACAGUAAAACUACUACAACAAGUCUGCUAGAGAACCUGUUCAAACCUGUAGGAAGGAAAUGGAGAAGUCCUUCAGUGGUGCUUAUUACUAAUAAACAGCUGAGUAUCUUCUCCGUUUGUCGCAUUAUGCACAGUGCCUAAAAACGUGGGACUUAGCUCUGAGGAGAAAGAAUUACUAGUAAAGAUAAUUAGUACUGGUAUCUGUUUUUCAUUUGCUUUGUUUUGCUAAAGAAGUUCAUGGUCAGGCAAGUUCUGUGAAGUAAACUAGCACCCUUUCGUGCAAGAAAUCCCUGCCUGUGACAAAGGAAGAGGGAAAUUGUUCCACCCAUCUGAAGUAGUUCCUCCAUGGUAUGGAAAUAAGAUCAUUUGUGUAAUGAACAGUCACACAUCAUGCAAAUGGAUCUACACA